ensembl:lncRNA
GGGAGACCAGGGCUGGGGCCAAGAGGAGAGACCAGGGCUGGAGCCAAGAGGAGAGACCAGGGCUGGGGCCAAGAGGAGAGACCAGGGCUGGGGCCAAGAGGAGAGACCAGUGCUGGGGCCAAGAGGAGAGACCAGGGCUGGGGCCAAGAGGAGAGAGAGAGACCAGGGCUGGGGCCAAGCGGAGAGACCGAGACCAGGGCUGGGGCCAAGCGGAGAGACCAGGGCUGGGGCCAAGAGGAGAGGCUGGGGCCAAGAGGAGAGACCAGGGCUGGGGCCAAGAGGAGAGACCAGGGCUGGGGCCAAGAGGAGAGACCAGGGCUGGGGCCAAGAGGAGAGACCAGGGCUGGGGCCUAGAGGAGAGAGAGAGAGACCAGGGUUGGGGCCAAGAGGAGAGACCAGGGCUUGGGCCAAGAGGAGAGAGAGAGACACCAGGGCUGGGGCUAAGAGGAGAGACCAGGGCUGGGGCUACCAACCGU